rnacentral:rRNA from 1 species
CAUAAMAAAUACAUGUUGAUCGGAGAGACUUUUCGGCACCGGCUGCUSAGGCAGAGCGGAAGUGGAAGCGAAGGGCGGACGAGACAGGCAGGGAGCGGAACGGGAAGUGAGGGACUGGAAGUGUGGGUUACGGCCAACACGGAAGGCAAGAUGUCACAGGAGCAGGUGCUGAGAAGACUUUUAGCGGCGGACGGGUGAGUAACGCGUGAACAAUCUGUCCCGAACAGGGGGAUAACAGAUGGAAACAUCUGCUAAUACCGCAUAAGACCACGCACUCGCAUGGGUGUGGGGUAAAAGGAGCAAUCCGGUUUGGGGUGAGUUCGCGUCUGAUUAGCUAGUUGGCGGGGUAACGGCUCACCAAGGCGACGAUCAGUAGCCGACCUGAGAGGGUGAUCGGCCACACUGGAACUGAGAAACGGUCCAGACUCCUACGGGAGGCAGCAGUGGGGAAUAUUGGGCAAUGGGCGAAAGCCUGACCCAGCAACGCCGCGUGAAGGAAGAAGGUUUUCGGAUUGUAAACUUCUGUCCUCAGGGAAGAAGAAAGUGACGGUACCUGAGGAGGAAGCCCCGGCUAACUACGUGCCAGCAGCCGCGGUAAUACGUAGGGGGCGAGCGUUGUCCGGAAUGACUGGGCGUAAAGGGCGCGUAGGCGGUUUGGUGUGUCGAAUGUGAAAGCCCACAACUCAACUGUGGAAUGGCAUUCGAAACUACCGAGCUAGAGUACUGGAGAGGAGAGCGGAAUUCUUGGUGUAGCGGUGAAAUGCGUAGAUAUCAAGAGGAACACCGGUGGCGAAGGCGGCUCUCUGGACAGAUACUGACGCUGAGGCUCUAAAGUUAGGGGAGCAAACAGGAUUAGAUACCCUGGUAGUCCUAACCUUAAACGGUGUACACUUGGUGUGCGAGGAAUUGUCCCUUUGCGCGCCGCAGCUAACGCGAUAAGUGUACCGCCUGGGGAGUACGGUCGCAAGAUUAAAACUCAAAGGAAUUGACGGGGACCCGCACAAGCGGUGGAGCAUGUGGCUUAAUUCGAUGCAACGCGAAGAACCUUACCUGGACUUGACAUGCUGGUAGUAGAAUCCUGAAAGGGAGACGACGGUAGCAAUACCGAGCCAGCACAGGUGCUGCAUGGCUGUCGUCAGCUCGUGCCGUGAGGUGUUGGGUUAAGUCCCGCAACGAGCGCAACCCCUGUGGUUAGUUGCCCUUAUUCAGUUAGGCACUCUAGCCAGACUGCCUGUGAUAAGCAGGAGGAAGGUGGGGAUGACGUCAAGUCAGUAUGGUCCUUAUGUCCAGGGCUGCACACGUGCUACAAUGACCGGUACAAAAGGAAGCAAGGCCGCGAGGCGGAGCUAAUCCCCAAAACCGGUCUCAGUUCGGAUUGGAGUCUGCAACCCGACUCCAUGAAGCUGGAAUCGCUAGUAACGGCGCAUCAGCUACGGCGCCGUGAAUACGUUCCCGGGCCUUGUACACACCGCCCGUCAAGCCAUGGAAGUUGGGGGUACCUGAAGUCCGUAACCGUAAGGAGCGGCCUAGGGUAAACCAGUGACUGGGCUAAGUCGUAACAAGGUAGCCG